rnacentral:rRNA from 1 species
GUGCCAGCCGCCGCGGUAAUACGUAUGGGGCAAGCGUUGUUCGGAUUCACUGGGCGUAAAGGGCUUGUAGGUGGUGGAGUAAGUCGGAUGUGAAAUCCCCGGGCUUAACCCGGGAACUGCAUUCGAAACUAUUCCGCUAGAGUACCGGAGAGGGAAACGGAAUUCCUGGUGUAGGGGUGAAAUCUGUAGAUAUCAGGAAGAACACCGGUGGCGAAGGCGGUUUCCUGGCCGGAUACUGACACUGAGGAGCGAAAGCUAGGGGAGCAAACAGGAUUAGAUACCCUGGUAGUCCUAGCUGUAAACGUUGUGCACUAGGUGUGAGUGGUUUACCCACUUGUGCCGAAGCUAACGCAUUAAGUGCACCGCCUGGGGAGUAUGCUCGCAAGGGUGAAACUCAAAGGAAUUGACGGGG